GCUACGGGCGGCAGCAGUAGGGAAUUUUCGGCAAUGGGGGGAACCCUGACCGAGCAACGCCGCGUGCACGAAGAAGUUAUUCGUAAUGUAAAGUUCUUUUAACAGGGAAGAAAGAGAAAUUUGACGGUACCUGAAGAAUAAGCUCCGGCUAACUACGUGCCAGCAGCCGCGGUAAUACGUAGGGAGCGAGCGUUAUCCGGAUUUAUGGGGUUUAAAGGGUGCGUAGGCGGGGUGUCAAGUCAGCGGUAAAAUUUCGGGGCUCAACCCCGUCGUGCCGUUGAAACUGACGCCCUUGAGUGAGUGAGAAGUAAGCGGAAUGCGUGGUGUAGCGGUGAAAUGCAUAGAUAUCACGCAGAACGCCGAUUGCGAAGGCAGCUUACCGGCGCUCAACUGACGCUGAGGCACGAAAGUGCGGGUAUCGAACAGGAUUAGAUACCCGAGUAGUC
rnacentral:rRNA from 1 species